GCAUCACAUGGGGAUAUAGUAUCUGAUAAUGAUGAGCGGGUUGAGUGCUAGCAUGUAACACAGGGCAAGGAUAAAAUAAUGUCAGUUAAAAGUUAAAUUUCAAACUCACUAUACAUGUUCAUAUGCAUAUGUAUAUAUAGUAGAUGUUGGGGUAGGGAACAAGGUUUAGCAUGAUAGUAAAACAUUAUCUAGGACUAUGUAGCUAAGCUGUCAUAAACAGGCACCCACGGGCUAUAUGGGUUCAGCUUUCCCUGCUAAAAGAGCCCCAGUGUGUGUUAACCGCAUGAACCAGAGGCAUCAAGGAAGACCAAAAAAUGCCCCGAGCCCACGUCAACCUAGAUACAAAAUGUAUCAAUAGUGUGAACCAUACACACGGUCAUCUAGACCAACCCUCAAGUCGGUAAAUGUGAGUUUCCAGUAUAAGUCAUUCAAGACUCACACCUUCACCUCUUAGCUACAUAACACCCAUUAAUCCCAAUUAAAACAACUUUCACAUAACCCAUUCAUUAACCAAGGAAUCAUAUAUUAAGGCACACCAUGGUAUUGUCAUACCUAUUUAGCUUGCAAGCUUAUACUUAUGCCAUUACAAUUCCAUUAACUUGAGGGAAUGCCUCGACACCCUUUGUUCAUUAUAUCAAGUUGGAGGAAUGCCUCAACCUCCUUUAGUUUAUCAAAAUAAAACAUAGCCAACAAGGCUUCAAAAUCUAUUUUUAUUGUUUAAUCAUUUAUGUAAUGCUAUAGUAUAGGUUAGUAAAUCAAACUAAGUGACAAUUCCAUAAUUCAAAGCCAUUUACACAAGUGGGUUCAGGGAAUACAAUUAUUCAAAAUUAAUUUCCAAGUUCAAAACAUCAAUUUGAGGGAUUUUAUCGACCCUCAUUUUAAUUCCCCCGCCCAUGCACCCUAUUAGUUCAAAAACAUCCACUUCAAAGCAUGAACAACUCAUGAAAACCAUGGGAAAAUAAUUCAAGGAUCAACCAUUUCAAAACCAUCAACCCGUGUUAAAACUCACAUUAAAAUCCAUACAAUUAAACCAUUUAAAAUACGUUCUUUUCACAAAAUAAGAUUUGGAGAAGAGUAACAUGCUUGAGAUAUUACGAUUUACGAAAAGAAAUUAACCCUUGGAAGUUCUAGAGACCAAUUUCUUAAAACCCUAGCUUAUUCAUGCCUUAGGGAUUUAAGAGAGUUUAGGAGAGUGUUGAUGACUGGUAGGUAUUGAAAAUAAUGCCCAAAGGUGAUUUAUGGUUGUAGGAUCUAAGUAGGGGAAAAGGGAAAUGACCAGAAUGUCUUUAAUAAAUAGACUAAAAAUUAACCACACAAUCGCUACGGGUCACAUGAUGACUCAUAAUGACUGGAUAUGAGUCAUUUCUUAGACUCAGAGUUUGGUCAGUAUCAUAGGUAUGCACACUGGUCUGACUAUGAUUCGUACCUUAUAACUCAUACUCAGACCUUAUGACUCGUAUGGUCUAGUUGUUGUAUUGGAAGAAACAUUUAGGCAUCCUUACUGGUUAGGCUACGAAAACCGCUAUAUGACUUGUAAUGGGUCUUGACAACUCAUUGGGUGAUAAUCAUGACCAAUACAAAGACUUUUCCAAACACACUGGUCAGGCUACGAUUACAGUCCUACAACUCAUAUGAUAAGUCUUAGUCUGGGCAGUGAGCUCAGAGGUUAAAAAAAUUUUAAGGGCCAAAAUCUGGGGUGUAAGUAUACAUUCAUAAUUUAUCAAAGUCUAACAACUAAAUGGAAGAAAAGACAUAUUUAUAGUCUAGGGUUAAUUAUUACAUCAUAUGGGCCAAAAAAUUAUCCAUUUGGGAAAGACAAAGCAUAGAAGCCCAUUAAGAAUUCCCUUAGGCAAUCCAAGCACACAUGGGAUGCAUCUUCAAGUCAUGUGAGUUAUUUUUGACCCACUCUAGCAGAUCUAGAGUCGGUUGGGCACACCUACAAAGCAGAUGGGGUGCAUUCUCCUUUCGGGGGCUUUCUAGCCUCAUUUUGCCUUUCUUUGGCCUCUUUAAUAUCUCUCGUUCCUCCUCAAUCAUCAUAAUAAUUCAAUUAGCACCUUUUGGAUAGAACCAAUGAGCCUUCAAGUGCCUCUUGAACUAUAAGCCUCUUCUCUAAUAAUCUGGAGGCCAUUUGGAUUGUAUUACAAUACAAGUUAUGGCAUGGAUUUUAUUUCCUGAUCUUUUACCUACUUUUUUUGUGAUGAAUCACUUUUUUCAUUAGAAGAAACUAUGGGAAAAACCAUCCAUCUUGAUAUGUCCACUAUUAACAAGGCCCGACCUAGUUGUGCGAGGGUGAAAGUCCAAAUUGAUUUAGCAACUAAGUUACCUGAUAAAGUGGAGAUAGAAGUGAAUAAAACAAAAGAAGCAAGGAUUCAAUCAGUCAAAACUCGAUAUGAUAUGCUUCCUAAAUAUUGUUUCAAGUGUAAAGUUCAAUGUCAUGAGAAGGUGGAGUAUAGAAUUUUACAUUCAGAAUUGAAAAAUUAUGUGCAAAAAAGACAUAAAUAGGAAGUUAGUUUUUGCUAAAUGGAAUCCUACAAGUCAAAAAUUUCAAAUUGAAAAAGGAACCAACAAAUUUCUAGAUAAUGUUGUAGACAUGAAAAAUGAGGAAAAGGUGUUACAGGCCAAUAAAACAAUCAGUACUAAGAACUCAUUUGGCAUCCUUCAACAACAAGAUGAAGGCAGUUAACUUACUCAAGCUACGGGAACAAUGACCUCAAUGGUGGAGGGAAAGGAAAAUAUGAAGAAGAAGAAAAAUAAUGUAAAAGAAAAGCUGAGUAACAUGCAAAAUAUAGAUCAACAUAAAUCUGUUUAGUAGAAAUAAAAUAGGAAAAAUAUAUAUUCCAUGAGUUAAUAUGGAUAAUCAGGUGGAGGGAUGUAUUACAACUGACAAGGACAACAUCAAUGAGACUAGCAACAAUAGUUGUUCAAUGGGAACUGCAGAACCUAUUCAUGAUAAAUAUAUGAUAUUAAAUGUAGUGGAUCACAAAGAUACUCAACAACUUACAUGUACCAACAAAAAUCUAAGGAAAAGAGGCAGAAGUAUAUUGCUAGAACAGGGGAAUGUAGGUGUAAAUCAAAAUAAAUUACAUAGUAGUGGAAAAUACAUAGAAGACAUUCAUAGAAACAAAGAAAGUCCACAAAUGCAAAAAAAAAAACAUGUUGAUUAUUGAUAGUCACAGUGCAAGAGGAGGUGAUAUUGUGAAUAAUGAUAUACCUGAUGACAUACAUUCAAAUAGGGUUCAAUUAGCCCUUGCUCAAGCUACAUAAAAUGAGGCACUUUAGGUGGAUGAAUCAGGUGUUAGAGGUGAUGAGGGAUUUCUUCCAAAUAGCAUAGAAGGGGAGGCAAGUAAUCUGGCAUUAGCAGCAUUGAAAAAAUCAAACAACAAAAAAUUACAUAAUUUGGUUUCCCACCAAAUAACAAAAGAGGUAAAUCAUGAAAGUACAGAUACAGAUGACAUAUGGAUAAAAGAUACAGAAGAAGGAAAUAAUCAAAAAAAACUAAACCAAGUAAUGAAAGAAGCAGGUUUAUCACCACGUGCAAAUAACAAAGGUAAAAAGAGUAGGAUCAAAGUUGAAAAGCCUACAAGGACCAGUUCUAGGAGGGGUGGUAAAGCCAGCAUUCAAUGAAUUUAAAAGCACUUUUCUGGAACAUCAGAUUAGUUAGGUCACAACAUGUUUUCCACAUAGUACAAAUGUUACAUAGGCAUCAUAUUACUUUUAUUGCUUUGAUGGAGUCUUUUCAAGAUAUCAGACACAUAUAGAGGUAUAAAAGAAUAUUGGGCAUGAAAUAUACAAAUUAUAAUAUGAAUGUAAAGAUAUGGAUUUUUGUUUAAAAAAAUAUACAGGUGGAGACAUUAGCAUAUUCUGAUCAGCAAAUCACAUUUUAGCUAGUUGUUCAGAAUGAUCAAUAGGUGAUUAUUAUAGCUGUUUAUGCUAAAUGUGAUGUAAGUGAAAGAAUUGCUUUAUGGGAUCUAUUUACUCAUUGAGUCAUAAUGUUAGAGUAUCUUGGAUGGUAAGGGGACUUUAAUGUUAUCAUGAAUGAAGAAGAGAAAAUUGGAGGAUUACCAAUGUAUCCUAAUGUAUAUGAACAUUUUGCUUUCUACAUCAACCCCUGUGAUCUAUUUGAUAUUAAUUUAAAAGGGAGUCCAUUCACUUAGUGGAAUGGUAGGGCAGAUGAUCCAUGUAUUUUUAAGAGAUUAGACAUAAUCGUUAUUAACUAAGAGUUUUUGGGCAUUAUGGGGCGUAUUGAGGUUGAACAUCUAUCCAGGACACGAUCAGAUCAUGCUCCUUUGUUAUUCUCUUGUAGUGAUGAAAAUGUUCAGUUUCACAAGCCUUUUAGGUUUUUGAAAUUUUGGACUGAGAAAGAGGACUUCAAAGAAAUGGUAAGAUAGAAUUAGGUAUCAAAAAAAUGUAGGCAUAUCUUUAUCAAUUUAAAGCAAAAAAUGAAGAAAACCAAAAUGGCUCUAGCUUUAUGGAGCAGAUUCAUGUUUGGAGAUAUAUUUAAAUAAUUAGUCAUCAAGAAAUACAUAGUAAGAAUCAAAAAUGAUUUGUUUGAAGAAAGUCCUACUACUACUAACAAAAUAAUUUUUCAGAAGGCACAGGCUGAGUUGAGGUAGUGUUUACAUUAUGAAGAAGAGUAUUGGAGAUAAAAAUCUGGUAUUCAAUGAUUUUCAGAAGAGAAGGAAAUAUGAAAUUCUUUCUGGUGAAUGCUAGAAGGAAAAAGCUAGAAAUAACUAGAAUUUAGAGAGUUGAUGGUUCUUGGGUUGAAGAUAAUAAUUAGGUAGCUGUAGAAAUAAUUGAUUUCUACCAGAAAUAAUUCACUGGAUCAGUUGAGUCUGGUGCAUAUUCUUUUAUUAAUUUGAUUUCUACCCUAAUCACAAAAUAAGAGAAUAAUUUGUUGAAGGUUUGUCCUGACACUGAAGAAGUUAAAAAGGUAGUUUCUAAACUGAAUGGGGAUAACGCUUGUGAGCCAGAUGGUUUCACUGGACAUUUUCAUCAGUUUUGAUGGGACAUUGUUAGUGGUAAUAUUGUGAAGGUAGUUCAUGUAUUUUUUAUGUAAUGACACUGCCUAAAUCUAUCACUCAUACUAAUUUGGUUCUAUUGCCAAAUAAAGAGAAGGUCAAGAGAGAAGGUCUUGACCUUCUUUGACUUAAGACCUAUUAGUUUGAGUAAUUUUCCAAACAAAAUCAUAUUUAGAAUUCUUCAUGAUAAAUUAUAAGGUUUCUUACCUAGGCUCUCUCAAAAUCAAUCUGAUUUUGUUAAGGGAAAAAUUAUCACAGAUAAUGUAUUAUUGGCCAAGAAAAUUAUAUGCGAUAUUAAAAAAGGGAGUAAGGCUGCAAAUAUGGUAAUUAAGCUUGAUAUGACCAAAGUCUACGAUAGAGUGGAGUGAAAUUUUUUUAUGGAAAUGUUGGAGAAAAUGGGCUUCUCAAAUGUCUUUACUGAUAUGAUAUGGAGACUAGUAGCCAAAAAUUGGUACUCUAUCCUAAUAAAUAGGGAAGUUCAUGUCUUCUUCCAUUCUUCUAGAAGAGUAACGCAAUGGGGUCCUUUAUCCCCUUCUUUAUUUAUUAUUAUUGCUGAAGUUAUAACAGGGCACUUAAUAAUUUAUUCUCAUAUGAUGAUUUCAGGAGUUAUGGACUGACUAAAUAGAGUGAUCAAAUAAAUCAUCUUGCUUAUAUUGAUAAUACAAUAAUAUUUUUUUUGCUGACAGGUUUUCAUUGUAAUUAAUUAUGCAGAUCUUAAGAGAAUAUGAAAACCAAUCGUGUCAACAGGGAAAAGAGUGCCUUUUAUGUACAUAACAAGGUUACUCAUGCACAUGUUUAAUUGGUGGAGCAUUGUACUGGCUUUUCCAAGAGGUAAAUUUCCAUUGACAUAUCUGGUUGUGCUAUUGGACAUGCUAGGAAAAGAAAGAUUAAUUUUUUAGAGCUAUUAAAGAAGGUACAAAAUAAACUUCAGUUAUGGAAAGGCAAACUAUUAUCAUUUGGAGGUAAAGUUGUGUUGAUUAAUAAUGAUUUGCAGAGUAUCCUCAUUUAUCAAUUAUUCGAUCUUAUACCUCCAAAAUGUGUGAUUCAUGAUCUUUAUAGAUUUUUUGCUAAAUUUCUAUGGAACUUUAGAAAAAGAGGGAGGAGUAAACACUAGGUCUCUUGGACUAAUAUAUGUCUACCAAAAAAGGAAAGUGGUAUUGAUUUUAGAUCUUUUUUUUAUGUGUCUAAAUCCUUAUUUUCAAAGCUAUGGUGGUAUUUUAGAAUACAAAAAAAUAAUGUGGACUAAUUUUAUGAGAACAAGUACUGUAAAAGGCAUAGACCACAAGUAGUUGAAUGGAAAGGUGGUUCUCAAGUUUGGAAGUUUAUGUUACAGGCUCGAGAUUAUUUUGACCAAGAAAUAUGGUGGAAAUAUAAGUGUGGACAUGUUAGUAUUUGGUCAGAUAAUUGGACUCAAAAGGGAGCUUUACACUAUUAUCUCCCAUUAAACUAUAAUAAUAAUGGAUGAUUGGAAGAUGUGCAUCAAUUAAUGAAUCAUGAUGGGUGGAAUAGGGAUCUACUUAAGGAAAUUUUUUCUGAAGAUAGAUGCAAUCAUGUACUUAAUAAGAUUGGGACAAUAGGAUAUUUUAAUGCUUGGGAUAAUCCAUGGUGGAUGCCACAAGGUUCUAGAAAAUUUACAAUUAAAAGUGGUUGGACUAUCAUAAGACAGUCUGGGAAUGUCAAUGAGGAUUUAAGGUUUAUAUGGGAAAAGGGUAUACCUUUCAAAGUAUCUUUCUUCUUCUUGAGUUAUGAAAGAAAAUAUUACCUACAGGUGACUUUCUAGUCAGUACAUGAUGGGAAGAAAUGACUAAUUGUGUUUGUUGUGAGUUACCAGUUCAUGAAUCCUAUGAACAUCUCUUUGUUCAGUGUUCUGCAGCUAAUAAUUUGUGGAUAGUUUUUGCAUCAAUAUUGAAGUGUAGGGCCCUUUUCUUCAUUUAAAAUAUGUUAUCUACAAGUGGUGGAAUGCUAAUUAUUGUGCUAAACUUAGGCCCCUAUUUAUUGUUAUUCCUGUUUUCAUACUGUGGAAAAUAUGGAAAGAAGAAACAUCAUCAAACAUGAAGGUAGGAUGUCAAUUCAUGGCAUACAAUAGGAAAUAAAUUGGAAUCUGUAUUUGUUUGCUAAGAUAAGAUAUCCUUGGCUUAAUAAUAUCCCUAGUAACUGGCCUAUGAUGGUUAUGUUCUUGGAAGUUUAUAAACCUAAUAUCCAGGCUACUGUGGUCAAGUGGAAGCCUCCUAUCAAUGGUUUUUAUAAGUGCAAUAUUGAUGGUGCCUCUAAAGAUAACCCUUGUCCUAGUGGUGGUGCUUUCUGUAUUAGAGACAGUAAAGGGAAAUUUAUUUUUGCUAAGUCAUUCUCUUUUGAUAUCUUAACUAACUUAGAGAAAGAAUUUGUUUCCUUUAAGAAGGGUUUAGAGUAACGUGUGAGUCAAAAGUUGUUAACAGUUACUAUGAAAUAGAUUCUCUCAUUCUUAAGAAAAUCCUAGAUGGAAUCUGGGAGAUUUCCUGGAAGGUUUCUAUAUAUAUCAAAAGAAUUCAAUGGUUGAAGAGGCAAUGUCAGGUGGAGGUGUUGCAUACGCUAAGGGAAGGGAACAAACUGGUGAAUUUUUUAGCUAAUGAAGUUUUCUUUUUAGCAGGUACGCAAAAUAUAAUACACAUUGCUACAGGAUAUUGCAGAUGAAGGAAAAAUAAUUAUAAAAAUGGACAAGCAUUAAAUCCCAUCACUGAAGUUUGUCAAAUAACAUUUUUUUCUAUAUAAAAGGCAGUCAUAUUAAAUAACAUACCAGAUCUGAGAUAGCAAAUAACAAGAAAUGCAAAGGUCAAGGCACAUACAGAGGGGGAAUUGAUCCAAAUAGAGGUACAUAUAGCUAUAUUAACAUUGAUUGUCGAGCAAUAAAGUACAAGUACAUAUGUACAUUUUAGACUAGUGCAUGCGACAUGGGUAAAAUACUAAGCUUCAGAAAAGAGGGUUUUGUACCUUUUUCAUGCUUACUCAAAUCAUCUAAGUUAAUGUCCUUUGUCAGUGGUAUCAGCUUCUUGUUGAGCUCAACCUGUCAAGGGUAUGAUUUAGAUAAUCCAAUUUAAACAUUAGAUUAGGUAAUGGAGGAUUUUGGGAAAGAUUUACGUUUACCUGAGGAUCAAAUGUCUCAAUUUGUUCUAAGGGGAGUUGAUGAAGUCUUCCUAUAAUCCGAUUUCAUGGCAUUUGUGAGACAAUUAUAAAUGUCUAAAAUGAAAUUCAUAACUUCACUAAUGGACAGAUUUGAGCUAAAUACAUGGUGUUGGCUUAAGCUUUCCCUUUUAAUCCGUCAGUGAGGCAGUUUCAGCUUUAUAAUCCGUGUGGGGAAGAUGAAAAUGCAUAAGAAUUUUUCUAGAUACUUAUCAUACUUUUUUAUAUGACAUUCAUAGUUGCAACAACUACAGGGGCAUUAAGUUGUUGAGUCACACUAUGAAGAUUUGGGAGAAAGUGGUUGAGCGGAGGUUGAGGAGGAGUGUGUCUAUUUCGGAGAAUCAGUUUGGAUUUAUGCACUGCCGCUCGACGGAGGAGGAAAUUUACCUGGUGUGGAGACUAAUGGAGACGUAUAGGGAGUGAAAGACGGACCUCCACAUGGUUUUC
rnacentral:lncRNA from 1 species